rnacentral:rRNA from 1 species
UACGGAGGGUGCAAGCGUUAUCCGGAAUCACUGGGUUUAAAGGGUGCGUAGGCGGAAUAUUAAGUCAGUGGUGAAAUCUUGUCGCUUAACGAUAAAAUUGCCAUUGAUACUGGUAUUCUUGAAUUGGGUUGAGGUUAGCGGAAUGUGACAUGUAGCGGUGAAAUGCAUAGAUAUGUCAUGGAACACCAAUUGCGAAGGCAGCUAACUGGGCCUUGAUUGACGCUGAGGCACGAAAGCGUGGGUAGCGAACAGG